rnacentral:rRNA from 1 species
GAUGAACGCUGGCGGCGUGCUUAACACAUGCAAGUCGAACGAUGAACCGGGUGCUUGCACUCGGGGAUUAGUGGCGAACGGGUGAGUAACACGUGAGCAACCUGCCCCUGACUCUGGGAUAAGCGCUGGAAACGGCGUCUAAUACUGGAUAUGUCCCAUCACCGCAUGGUGUCCGGGUGGAAAGAUCUUUCGGUUGGGGAUGGGCUCGCGGCCUAUCAGCUUGUUGGUGAGGGAAUGGCUCACCAAGGAGUCGACGGGUAGCCGGCCUGAGAGGGUGACCGGCCACACUGGGACUGAGACACGGCCCAGACUCCUACGGGAGGCAGCAGUGGGGAAUAUUGCACAAUGGGCGGAAGCCUGAUGCAGCAACGCCGCGUGAGGGAUGACGGCCUUCGGGUUGUAAACCUCUUUUAGCAGGGAAGAAGCGAGAGUGACGGUACCUGCAGAAAAAGCACUGGCUAACUACGUGCCAGCCGCCGCCGUAA